CAAUCUACCAUUUACCAAUCUUUAUGUAUUUGGAAAAAAUAUAAUAAAAGAUACAUUAUUUUUAUUUAUAAAGGUCCCUCUAUUAGAACCAUGGAAUUGCCCGAAAGCUAAAGAAUGGGACAGCAUUUCGACUAAGGCUUGGCUUGACGAAGUCUGUUGGACAGACACGGCAAAAAAUGUUAUAAGUAUACUGUUACACUCAAUACACGCAUGUGAGCCGAAAGAGUUAUCGUUACUCUAUUUUCUGUGGUACAUCAAGUCUGGAGCUGGAACGUUGAGAAUAUCAAGUACUGAAAAGGGAGCCCAGGAGAGAAAAUUCGUGGGAGGUUCACAACAGAUUUGUGAAAAAAUAGUGGACCUUAUUGGAAAAGAUAAAAUUCUUUACAACAGUCCCGUUGUCAAAAUCGAGCAAAAUGACGAUGGCGUGAUAGUAUCAACAGCGAGUGGACGUCAAAUCAAGGUACA